rnacentral:rRNA from 1 species
UCUCUCUCUCUCUCUCUACCCGGUCUGCUGCUGCCGCUGCUGCUGAACCGCUGCCAGCCAGCAACAAAGGCGCAACGGCUCGUCUAGGUAGGGGAAGGGAAGAGGAGAGUGAGGGUGAAGGACGACGCGGAGCGGCACGUGCGCAGCGGCCGCAGCAGGCUCGAAGAGGGGCGGCCCUUUCGGCGGCUCCCAGCGGCGUCCGGCGGUAACUCGCCGUCUAGGUAGGACGAUCGCGAUCGAUCCAGGUGUAGCUGCUGCGACUCCUUUAUCUAUUAGGUGAGAAGUGGACGACGGUGCGGCGGCGGCCUAGGUACGAAACUCCCAAGUCUAGGUGCUGCGCCUCUUCUUCUUUGUUAGGUGACAAGUGGCAGUCACAUGGUUCGCUCGACGGAGACUCAACGUGGUGUAAGUCGAACAGCUAAACGUCGAAGGAUAAAUGAUAGUCACGUAAGUCGUUUGACAGGAGGUGCGUGUCGACUGACCGGCUCGAGACUCGAACGUACCGGUACCUCCGCCGAGAACAGUCGCACCGCUGCCCCCAGGAGUUUGGACAGUAUCCUUUCGACUGGCAAGACGAGCCGUUACUCAUGUUCGCAAAGUUCUGUCAAGCGUUCCUCUAGUUCAGUGAGUGAUUACUCGAACGGCGGUACCUCCGAAAAGAAGACUUCUACAGUCUCCUCCUCCUAGGGCUACACAUCCUAUUUCAAACCUACUUACUCCACGCCCUUGACAGGAUACUGGACCUCCUGCGGUAGCUGCUGAAGUACGUCUCGCAGCCACUGUUUCUACUUUUCGGUCUACCAAAGUAACUUUUCUAGUUUUUAAGUGAUCCCUUCAACCCCUUCUACUUCCGAGCGGUAGCCUAACCGUUCCUCUAGGUUCUAGACUUCUUUGUUUAGUUUCUCCACCCACUGUCCUUACGUUCCAUGUUCCCAGCAGUUUGGAAGAGAUCGUGGUUUUUACUUCAACAUCUGGGAUCUUAAGAACGAUCUAAGCUCGUACGUAGUUUUGAGCAACCUUAACUACUUUGGUUUCGGCUCUAUUAGUUCGAUAAUCCGCUUCUUUUACCUGUUCACGGUUCCGUUGUUGUUGACUUCUAUCAGAGGUAACAACCUAAACCUCCUUACCCCUUCUGUUGAGAACGUUUGGUUCACAUAGUUCUGGAGUUUCCCCUUAAGGUCAUAGCUCGAAAGUAUAGCCACAGUGCUUUAGGUCUGAACUACUUUUAGGAGUCUUGAUAGGAAUCACUUUAAUGGCCAUAUUCGAUAGGACCGUGGCUUCGUCCCACGUAUCUUGUUGAGUAGCUGUUCUAGUUUCUAAAGGAUCGUCUGUUUUCCAUAGAAUAACAGUAUCUACUGUAUACCCUGUAUUUUGUAACCCUUCACUAGGCUACACGAGAUCGACUAUUAGUAAUACUCUUAUCUCAUUAGUGUUGUUGGGCACUAGCGCUGCAACGUGCAUUUCAACCACCGCGAAUACUCGAAUUUGGGGAGGGACUACUCUGUAGGUUUUAUAAUAAGAAACCUUCUUAAAAACCAUAAUUAUUACUGACAGGUCUACUAAACCAGCUUCAUAGACUUUGAGAGGACUUCUUUACACCGCCACACGGUAACCGAUAGUAGUGGUAACGACCAAAUAACCGGUCAGCCCUUCCCUUAUUUUCCCUCACCUUGUUCAACACACUAAGAUAGCCAAGCCCUGAACUGUUAUCAGGACUACACUUCUGCUACUCUUUAUAUAACCGGGAAUCGAUAGCGGUAGAUGGAUAGGUGGAUUUUUGAACGAACAACAUAGAUUCAUAUAAAGGACUUCUGAUGUAAUAAGUUCCUUCGUCUAACUAUACCUCCACCUAUACACUUCCAAAACAAUUACCCCAUGUUCUACUCCUGAAUAAACUCGAACCACUCUCGAUGGAGUGCCUCGAGUAUUUGUCUCCUAACUAGGUUCGCCACCUGAGGAUAUCCAUACAGUCCUGUUGCCUAACGGCACACGUACUGAACCAAGACCUUAAAUAGUCGAGGUAAAGAUAACUUCUUUUGAAAACAUGACAUAACGUACUAUUCUUCCGGUUUAGUCGACGCUAUUGUUCGUUCCAGGCGUCCAAUAAAGACGUUGAGGUCCUACAACUCUACGGAGUCCCCUCUAACUAUAACAGGGUGUACUCCAGUGAAUGACACAGCCCCCAACUGUUUUACAGUGGGGAAAGAAAAAGGGGAGUUAAUGCACAUAACCUAAACCUCCUGACGAUAGAAGUCCUCGUUGCGGUAUUUAAUGAACUCGUAGAGCCCUCAAAUACGGUCAACUCUAUAGAACGCAACCCUCUAUAUAUGGGGUCACUCGAGAAUAACGGCUAGGUUUAACCCGUCGAUUUUGUAGACUAUAAGAAUUCACAACCACCAGCGAGGUUUUUGUUUAAGUCCGGUCCACAAUAGUCGUUUGACCUCCGAAACGUUCACAACAAUAGAUAGUCGAAUAGGUUCAGAGGCGUGUAACGUUUUCUCGAUUCCGUAAACUGAUUUGACUCCCAAGAAUGAAAGAGCAACCUUCCAUACGGACUACUCUCGAAGUUCCCAACCUAAAGCCUCAGAGAUCAAGUGGACCUCUUAAACGUCUCAAAUUAACACGUGCGGGGAAUGGCAAACCUACUCCUUUCACGAACAAACCUAAAGAAUCCCCUUCCUACCUACGGGGGAGGAGCCUUAGCGGCAUCCAAACAAAGUGGUAAACCCUUCAAGAGGAUAGACGGUAGCACCUAAUUGGGCAGUUUAGAAGCCCUCGAGAGGUACUAUCUCUAGCCCAACCCGGUGGACGCCGUCUUCCUAGAACUGUAUGAACCAAGGAAAGGUCAAGAAGUUAGGGAGGCCGACUCAACGAUGUUCUUAUAGACCCUACUUCUUUCCUUUGUCACCGGCCACUAGUCACGACUAUGAAAGGUCACGGACGUCCUCACAUUCAACCCCUAUGAAGGGUGCCCUCCUUUAUACAAGCGUGGUCCUCGUUACGGGUUCCAUGUUUCGGAAUGUAAAAGAAAAUCGAACCCAAACCGUUAGGAGGGUAGAGAGGCACUAUCGAACCCGAACCUCUUAGAGGGAAGAGAGGUCCUAGAGGUACAAAUGAAGUCGCUUAAGUGGCUACCCAGGCAGUGGGUUGUUCGUAUACUGGUUCGCCUCCGACGUUAAUCGACACGUCGUCUGUUGGUAGGGUUGGCGGGGUGGGAAGUCAACCCGAAUAGUACCGGCCGGUUACUGCGCUGACGAACCGACGGCGGCGACGGCGCUGGCCGGGCGGGCGGAAGUUUGCGGUGGCUACGGCGCGGACGGCGGGCGGAAGGCGGAGCCCGGCCGGCGACU